UACAGAGGUCCCAAGCGUUGUUCGGAUUCAUUGGGCGUAAAGGGUGCGUAGGUGGUAGACUAAGUCGGGCGUGAAAUCCCAGGGCUCAACCCUGGAACUGCGUUCGAUACUGGCCUGCUCGAGGACUGGAGAGGAGAUUGGAAUUCAUGGUGUAGCAGUGAAAUGCGUAGAUAUCAUGAGGAAGACCAGUGGCGAAGGCGGAUCUCGGGACAGUUCCUGACACUGAGGCACGAAGGCUAGGGGAGCAAACGGG
rnacentral:rRNA from 1 species